GACGAACGCUGGCGGCGUGCCUAAUACAUGCAAGUUGAGCGCUGAAGGUUGGUACUUGUACCAACUGGAUGAGCAGCGAACGGGUGAGUAACGCGUGGGGAAUCUGCCUUUGAGCGGGGGACAACAUUUGGAAACGAAUGCUAAUACCGCAUAAAAACUUUAAACACAAGUUUUAAGUUUGAAAGAUGCAAUUGCAUCACUCAAAGAUGAUCCCGCGUUGUAUUAGCUAGUUGGUGAGGUAAAGGCUCACCAAGGCGAUGAUACAUAGCCGACCUGAGAGGGUGAUCGGCCACAUUGGGACUGAGACACGGCCCAAACUCCUACGGGAGGCAGCAGUAGGGAAUCUUCGGCAAUGGACGAAAGUCUGACCGAGCAACGCCGCGUGAGUGAAGAAGGUUUUCGGAUCGUAAAACUCUGUUGGUAGAGAAGGACGUUGGUGAGAGUGGAAAGCUCAUCAAGUGACGGUAACUACCCAGAAAGGGACGGCUAUCUACGUG
rnacentral:rRNA from 1 species